rnacentral:lncRNA from 10 species
UUGGGAUUGUGGCCAUAGAGAUUAUGGAAAGGGAUCAGAUUCAGUGUCGGUUUUGGACACAGUGCCACGGGAUGUGGGCCGCAGAUGUGGGAAAGAAAGGCAGGGCAGAGAGCAGCUAGGUCUGGGGCAGGAACACUGUAGCUGGUGAUGCCACUCACAGAGGUGGAAGGGAGGUGGACUUGGUGGUGAUGGUUGGGGUCCUGAGUAUGUAUGGGCCUGUCCACCUAAGGCUGAGUCUGAAGGGGGGUGGCCUGCACCACGGGAUUCAGAGCAGGACGGUGAGCAACAUGGGGGUCCCAGAAGAAGGGAAGGAGUGUGCCCAGCCAUGCUGGGGCUGCUGAGCAUGGACUAAGAUGAAGACAGGACUGGCAUGAGGCCGGCCAUGGGUGCUUGUGGGGAUAGGUCAG